rnacentral:rRNA from 1 species
GUGCCAGCAGCUGCGGUAAUACGUAGGGGCAAGCGUUGUCCGGAAUUAUUGGGCGUAAAGCGCGCGCAGGCGGUUCCUUAAGUCUGAUGUGAAAGCCCACGGCUCAACCGUGGAGGGUCAUUGGAAACUGGGGAACUUGAGGACAGAAGAGGAGAGUGGAAUUCCACGUGUAGCGGUGAAAUGCGUAGAUAUGUGGAGGAACACCAGUGGCGAAGGCGACUCUCUGGUCUGUUUCUGACGCUGAGGUGCGAAAGCGUGGUAGCAAACAGGAUUAGAUACCCUGGUAGUCCACGCCGUAAACGAUGAGUGCUAGGUGGUUAGGGGCUUCCACCCUUAGUGCUGAAGUUACGCAUUAAGCACUCCGCCGU